GUAAGUUGCAGACACUUUGUUCUGAUAGGUUUAAAUUGCUGCCCUUCAAAGAGCAGGGUAGGGUUUUUACAGCAGCGGUGGGUUAUGGGAGUCUGAGGCCACAGACACGCUCUGCAGUGGUCGUUUCUGAGGGUGUGGGUUUGGUGGGUCCGCCCGGGCCGCUUCUUCCGUCGGUCUGCGGCGAGUCAGUCUGAAACAGUUCGCGUCUAUCCGGCGGCAUUGAGUCUUGGUCCUUCGCCGGAGUGUCAGGCUCAGGGGUCCCAGCCAGUGAGGGUGACAGUUUGGAUUGGCCUCGGGAGCGCAGCCUGGCCCGUCCCUGAAUCCCAGUAUUGGGUUCUGGGUGUCCCAAAAUCCCGCGUGAUGGUGAAGGCGCUGGGGCUCGGGUAGGACUGGCUCGGAAUUUCAUCUUGGCCGAUCUCCUCGGUGGAGAUGCACACCCUCGCUGAACCUCGCGGGUAGAGGGCCGUGGCGUGGGAUUGUUCACAUUCGUGCAGUAGAGUUUUUAGCCGUUAAUGAAGGGUCUCUGCCUCCGUUAUUCGGAGGAACCCAAGGAAGGCUUUUCUCUGCUCUCUGACUCAUGCUGCUAUUUUUGGUGCUGCUGCUCUCAAGAUCAGAUCUGUUCCCAGUUCCACACUUGUCUACCCAGCUGCCUCCUCGACGUCUACGCUUGGAUGGCAAAUGGACUUCGCAAUGUGUUCAAAUCAGAGCUCCCAACAUGCUCCCCUGAAGCUGUUCUUCCCUUGACUUCCCUCUUGUCAGUGGCCUCACUAUUCUUGGGCUGGUUCACGCUGAAAACAUUGGAGGUGUCCUUGACUCCCGUCUUUUACAGCCACGUCCAUUUCAGCAAAGUUUGUCAGGGUUCGACAGGGACCCUUCUGCAAGUUCCCAUCCGUCUCCUGGCUUUGGGAAGGAAAAGGGCGGGUUGGCUUCCUGAGCAGUCUUUCCCUGCAUCAGGGUCUUUGCCAACAAGUCAGCUGUUCACAUCAGGUGGCCAAAGUAUUGGAGCUUCAGCUUCACCAUCAGUCCUUCCAGAUUGACUGGUUGGAUCUCCUUGCAGUCCAAGGGACUUUGAAGAGUCUUCUCCAGCACCACAGUUCGAAAGCAUCACUUUUUCGGCACUCAGCCUUCUUUAUGGUGCAGUCC
ensembl:lncRNA